rnacentral:sRNA from 1 species
CAUCUAUUACUAUGACCAAUUAUAUAUUAAACAAAAUAUUGACCGAUUUUGUUUCAUUGUUGUACAGACUUUUAUGUUCAGGAACAUAUAUAUCAAUUUCAUUGAAAAUCAUAACACAUCCUUAAAAAUUGUGAUUGUAGAUGGGUUUAUUUUCUCAAUCAAGAGGCAUUUGCAAUUUUCCCAUCAUUAUUUUAUAAUUAUUUUUGUGUCAGUCUCAACAAAACCAACUAGAGCAUAUUGUAUGUCAAAUUUUUACAGGGGGGGAAACAUUUUGUAAUUUCACCAGUGUUUCAAUGUUGCAAAACUUGAAUACGGUAUUUCUUUUUAUUUCUUAAAUUCCAUUUGAAUUUGUAUAUUUAAUUGCUUUAAAUUUCUUAUUGUUCUUGCAAAAUAUCAGUAUGAAAUCAGUCUUUUUAAAUUAUUGAAUUUAGUGGUUUAGUGUAUUAUUCUAUAUAUUUACCAAGAAAAUCAUUACUAAUAUAGCUUUGAAGUAAAUUUCAACAUCAUGGAAAUUUUACCUUAAAGAGACCCCAUUUUUUUUCAUUCAGUUUGUACCGUACUAGUUUUUCUUCAGUGUUGAUAGUGCUGUUAAUUUAAUUUCUGAAAUUUGAGUCAUGUUGCUCAUGUGUGAAUAAUUAAGGGAAUAAACUUUUUUGUUUUCUUUUG